UGGGGAAUCUUGCACAAUGGGGGCAACCCUGAUGCAGCGACGCCGCGUGAGCGAUGAAGCCCUUCGGGGCGUAAAGCUCUUUCGACCGGAACGAUAAUGACGGUACCGGGAGAAGAAGCUGCGGCUAACUACGUGCCAGCAGCCGCGGUAAUACGUAGGCAGCAAGCGUUGUUCGGAGUUACUGGGCGUAAAGAGUGCGUAGGCGGUUUUCUAAGUUCGGUGUGAAAUCUCCCGGCUUAACUGGGAGGGUGCGCCGAAGACUGGGAAGCUGGAGUGUGGGAAAGGCAGGCCGAAUUCCUGGUGUCGCGGUGAAAUGCGUAGAUAUCAGGAGGAACACCGGCGGUGUAGACGGCUUGCUAGACCAUAACUGACGCUGAGACACGAAAGCGUGGGUAGCAAACA
rnacentral:rRNA from 1 species